AUGUUUUUACAUAUACAGGGUCCAUGUGGGGAUAUUGGUCUUCCUGGUCUAUGUGGCAUCCAAGGGCCAAAGGGCUGCUCAGGUGACCCCGGACCUAAAGGAAACCCAGAGUGCUAUUACAACCAUGUGAUAGGACCACCUGGAGAUCGUGGGCUUCCUUGUGCAGCGGGACUUCCUGGGGAUAGAGGGAUGCCGGGUAUACCUGGACCCCCUGGUGAUUCAGGAGCAUGUAUAACAGGUCCAGAGGGUGAAUGUGGUCUGCCAGGUCUUAAUGGACUCAAAGGAGAAAAAGGUGACCCAGGAAACCUAUGCGGGUCACUCUUAAAUGGUAAUAUUUCAGAUUAUUUGUUUGCUUGCCAAAAUAUUUAAUUUUAAUAGACAUUCUAAUGAUUUUAAAGACGUAUUAUAUUAUUUGUGUGACUGACAUGUUAAGGCCAGUAAUAAAAAAAAAUAUAUAUUAUUAUUUUUUUCUUGUUUUGAACUGACAGUACUUUUUUAUUACAGUUUUUUGGAUUUAAUCAUCUGAAAAAUUACAUCAUUUUUGGGAUUUGAGGGACACUAAAGCUGUAGGUCUUUGUGGAUUUAUUAAUAAUCGUAUUUAAAGUUUCAGUAGUUUUGUCCAAAAUAGGAUAAGUAGGCAUGUUAGGGGUAGGAAUUACCAGAGGCCCCACAAUACAAUAUUAUUGUGAUUUUAAAUAUAUUGGGAUAUUCUGCAAUAUAUUUUGUCAUUCUGCAUUUGUUUCAGGAUUCUUUGAUUAAUAAAAAGUUCAAAAGAACAGUAUUUAUUUGAAAUAUAAAUCUUUUUUAACAUUAUAAAUGUUUUUUGUUGUUGUUGCAUUUAAUCAAUCCAUUCUUUAAUAAAUAAAUUAAUAAAAAACUUUUUUACUGUAGUGUACUAUUUUCUAAUUCUUUCAAUUUAAAUGUAAAAACAAAAAAGAUAGAAGAAGAUAUUUUUUUAUGGUUUUGUAAUAUAAUUUAUUAACAUACAAUCUCUUUUCCUCUAGGGGAACCUGGAAAACCGGGCUGCCCUGGACCCAAAGGACAAUGUGGAAAUCCUGGGAAUUCUGGUGAGUAGAUGUGGAUUUUUCCCCCCUUCAAAUUGUUACAUUUUCUAUUUUCUGUCUGAAUCAGCCCUGACGAAUUGUCAAAUUGAAACUAUCUGUACAAACCUGUAUAAAAUGCACGCAUGUUCCAAUAAUGCUUUUGUUAACUUUUUUAAUUGCCUUUCAUUGAGAUGUCUUUUGAAAUAUUUUGCCCUUUUUAUUUAAUUUGUUCUUAAUAUAAAUAAAACACUAACCUAUGUCUCAAUUUGUUGACAUUAUUGAUAAUGUACAUAAGUGUGCAUCAACACUGAAGUUAUUGUAUGCCCUUCAAAAACAUUUCAUCCUUAUUUUUUGUUUGCCUGUUUGCAUGUUGUCUUUUGUGUGUAUGUCCAUCCUGUUACGGUGUGAUCAUUUGUCUCGUCGUGUCUUUCGAGUGAACAGUUUGUGGUGAGCACAAUUUUUAGACUGUCACAUGCUACAUAAAUUAAACAUGUAACAUCAUACCUUAAAUAUGUAAGACAUGCAACUUUGAGAGUAACACUAUCAUUCUUAAGAAAUACAACUAAUACACUGUGAUGAGAGUUUGGGUCUGUGAUACAGGUUACUACUGCCUGACUGGUGAACGUGGAGAAACUGGACAGGGUGGAUAUAGAGGACCUCCUGGAUUAAAAGGUGUUCAGGGAAGAAAAGGUGAGUUUUUAUAAUAAGAAUACUUAAAAAAAAUGCAUUAUGGUUUCCACACUAAUAUUAAUCAAUUGUUUUAAAAGUUUGAUGAUAAUAAUAAUAAUAAAUAUUUCUUGAGCAGCAAAUCAGCAUAUUAGAAUGAUUUCUGAAGGAUCAUGUGACACUGAAUUUAGCUUUGCAUCACAGGAAUGAAUUACAUUUUAAAAUCUAUCAAAAUUAAAAAACUAAACAAAAAAUAUUAUUUUAAAUUGUAAUGAUACUUCACAAUACUGAAAUAAAUGCAGCAUAAGAGACAUAUUACAAACACAUGAAAAAAAAAAAUCUUACCCUAAACAUUUUUAAACAAUAAAGUUUUGAUAUAUUUAUGGUAGGAAAUUUACAAAAUAUCUUAAUGGAACAUGAUAUUUACUUAGUAUCCUAAUGAUUUUUGGCAUUUAAAAAAAUCUAUAUCUAUAAUUUUCACCAUACAAUGUUUUUUUUGGCUAUUGCCAAAAUAUAUACAGUAUAUAUUUUGUUUUAUUUUGUCAAACGUUACUAUAAAGGUUUUGCUUAAAAUAUUAGAUUUUUUUUUAUAUUUUGUUAUGUAAUGUCAUAUUGAUCCUAAUUGUCCAAACUUUUUUCUACUUUUUGGUGCCACUUUUGUAGUGUACAUAAUGUACUAUACUGUGUAUUACUGUCUAUACUUUAUCUCAUGAAUUUUUUAAACAUGUAUCUCAUUUGUAGAUGAAAGCAUUAUCAAGUUAGCCAAAAUCUUUUAAUGAUUGAACAGAGGAAGGUCUUAUAUUGUGCUGUCCAUGGUGCUGAAUAUUUUUCAUUUUUUUGUCCCAACUAUAACGUUGUGUGUAGUGUAUAUUAGUGUCCAUUAGGAGACAGCAAAGGGUGCAUCUUUUCUAACCCAAGUAUAAGCACAUGCACUUAUGUUCUUUGUGUUUCCUGUCAGGUCCUGAUGGGGGAUGUGCAUGUGACCCACUUGGUGAUUUACCAGGAGAUCCGGGCCCUCCAGGCCCUCCUGGUGUCCCUGGUUGUCCUGGGAAAACAGGCUGUCAGGGUCCUCCUGGCGAUGUUGGACCCACUGGAAAGAUGGGUUUGAGAGGUGUAACUGUACGUAAACGUGGUUGAAAUAAAUGUAGAAUUCUUUUUUUUUUUUUUUGUAUGGUACUUGUGUAUGUGUGUGUACUUAUUUUUGUUUGUGUCUGUUGUUGUUUCUCAGGGUCCCAGAGGCUUCAUAGGUGUCAGAGGGGCUAAAGGAGAGAAAGGAGAUGUGAUGAUGAUGUGCAGAAAGGGUGAAACAUAUUUGCCCUUAAUAGAUUAUUUUAAUUUCGUUUUUAAGACUCACAAUGGUCUAACAUCUAAGUAUAAGUUUGAUACUAUAACACAGAAUUAACUGUUAUGGUAAAUGCCUGCUAAUUCAACUAUAAUGCAGUUUCUUUAUCCCCAAGCAUUGUCAGAAUUUGUAUAUUUCUUCUCUUUUUCUUAAGUUAUCUAUCAAAUCUCUCAUCUUUAUUUUACGUACAAACUGAUAUGCAGUUAUAAGAACUUAAGACAUUUUUGCAUUAUGUUAAAGGGGAUAAAGGUGAUGCAGGAUCUGUUGGAUCAUGUGGAAAACCAGGAUGUAGUGGGAGGGAAGGAGCUGAUGGGAAGAUUGGUGCCCCUGGAGAUCCUGGACCUAUGGUAAGACAUUUAAACAAUUAUGAAAUUAUAUAUAUAUAUAUAUAUAUAUAUAUAUAUAUAUAUAUAUAUAUAUAUAUAUAUAUAUAUAUAUAUAUUAUAUAGAAGCUGUGGGUAAAAUUUAGUGGCUGACCUAAGUAUCAGUCAACAUUGAAAAUUUUAAAUUAAUGAAUAAAUAAAUCCUGUAAUACUCAAUGACAUGUUAUUGGACAGGUCAUUGUUGAACCUUCCCUUUAGGAUGGUUUAAGAUGAUUUAUAUUAACAAUAAUUUGCUGUCAUUAAUUAGUUUCUUUAAAAAAAACUAAAAUCCUUCCCAGGGAGAUUGUAUUGUUGGUCCACCGGGUGACAGGGGGUGUCCAGGGGCUGCUGGUGUGAGGGGUGUAAGAGGUCCAGCUGGUCUUCCUGGCCCGAAUAUGAUGGGGUCAGUUGGGCGACGGGGGCAACAAGGGUGCCAAGGACCUCAAGGCCAGACGGGACCUCCUGGUCCUAAAGGCGUUCAAGGUAAGAGUCACAAAGCUGAGUAAGGUUUAUACUUUAUGAUAAAUUGAUAUCCAGCCACUAUUUCAGCUCUGUACAGUUAUACAAUAUGUUGAAAACCAGCGUCAGUAUGAAGGAUGUUGAAAUCUGUUAAUGAUGAGUAAUGCACACUACCAUUCAAAAGUCGGCAAUAAUUUCUUUAAAAAUAAAAUAAAACUAAGCACAUCUCAAAUUGUUUUGUUUGGUAGGUGAUACACUGCCCUGUGGACCUGGCAUACGUGGAGCCCCUGGUUGCAAAGGGAUGGCUGGUUGUAAAGGUAAAUAUAUAUUGAAAUAUUUUUUGUAUGAAAGCGUGAGACCUCUCUCAGAUUGGUUGAAAAAAAGACACAACUGAAAGAAUAAGAGUAGAGUACCUUAGAAGUGUACAUUUACCUCAAAGUCUUUUACAAAUUGUAUUAUAUUUUACAUACUUUUGCUCAUUGCGUGCCAAUUUUAAUUCUAGAUCUAGUUUGAUUAAUUAUAGAUUGCACUUUUGUGGUUAUAACUUGGUAAACUAUAUAAUCAGUAGAUUAAAAUGUGGAUAUUUUAUUGAUGGUAAUAAAAUUAAUUGAAAACGAUG
ensembl:lncRNA